rnacentral:rRNA from 1 species
AGAGUUUGAUUAUGGCUCAGGAUGAACGCUGGCGGCGUGCUUAACACAUGCAAGUUGCGCGGUGAUCUCAAGAAGUUUCGGACGGAAAGGGAGAGCAGCAGCGGACGGGUGAGUAAAGCACAAGGACUUGUCCCGAAGAGGGGGACAACUGUGGGAAACCACAGCUAAUACCCCAUAAGCCGAGAGGUGAAAGCAGCGAUGCGCUUUAGGAGAGACUUGUGUCCUAUCAGGUAGUUGGUGAGGUAACGGCUCACCAAGCCGAAGACGGGUAGCCGGACUGAGAGGUUGUACGGCCACAUUGGAACUGAGAGACGGUCCAGACUCCUACGGGAGGCAGCAGUGGGGAAUAUUGGGCAAUGGGGGGCCAACCCUGACCCAGCGACGCCGCGUGAGGGAAGACAGCCUUCGGGUUGUAAACCUCUGUUGCAGGGGAAGAAGAAAGUGACGGUACCCUGCGAGGAAGCUCCGGCAAACUACGUGCCAGCCGCCGC